UACGUAGGGUGCGAGCGUUAAUCGGAAUUACUGGGCGUAAAGCGUGCGCAGGCGGUUAUGUAAGACAGGUGUGAAAUCCCCGGGCUUAACCUGGGAACUGCAUUUGUGACUGCAUAGCUAGAGUACGGUAGAGGGGGAUGGAAUUCCGCGUGUAGCAGUGAAAUGCGUAGAUAUGCGGAGGAACACCGAUGGCGAAGGCAAUCCCCUGGACCUGUACUGACGCUGAGGAGCGAAAGCGUGGGGAGCGAACAGG
rnacentral:rRNA from 1 species